rnacentral:rRNA from 1 species
GACGAACGCUGGCGGCGUGCUUAACACAUGCAAGUCGAACGGAGAUAAUAGCAAUAUUAUUUUAGUGGCGGACGGGUGAGUAACGCGUGGGCAACCUGCCUUAGACAGGGGGAUAACACAGGGAAACUUGUGCUAAUACCGCAUAAAGCAGAGAGAUGGCAUCAUCUUUCUGCCAAAGGAGUAAUCCGGUUUAAGAUGGGCCUGCGUACGAUUAGCUAGUUGGUGGGUAAAGCCUACCAAGGCGACGAUCGUUAGCCGAACUGAGAGGUUGAUCGGCCACAUUGGGACUGAGACACGGCCCAGACUCCUACGGGAGGCAG